rnacentral:lncRNA from 1 species
CUCCGUAUUUCUAAGCAUAGCCAUUUCUGCUAUAACGUUGAAUGUCUUACAAAAAAGCCUAAAAAUAAGAGUUAGGAGAAAACCAGGAUUAAAGACAGACCCCUAGAAACCUAAGGAGGGUACAAGGUAGAGCAUCCACUAAAACCAUAGCAAACCCACGAGGAAGAGUCUCAAGGCUACAGCUCUGGUGGCAUUUGUAUCCAGGCUAACCUUCCUGGGUCAUCAAAGUUUCAUACCCUGAAGCACAUACUCUCCUCCAAAAUGUCGAUACUCAAGGGUAUCUGCUUCUAAAAGAGACCAGUUUCAUCGAAAUUAAAUGUCUUUCCCCAGGUGUAGACUUCAUCACCAACCUUUUCCUGUCUUGACAGAGAGAUCUUUGCAACCUCUUCAUCUCUAACUCCUCAGCAUCCACAUACACCUUAAGCUACUGGAAAUUGUAAUGAUUCCUACAGCCACUAAAAUGUCACAGUUUGCUCCAAAGGGACUCAUUUCUGUAGGAUUUUCUAGCUUAAUGCCUUUUUAAGUCGUUGUACGGUGCUAAUGCUCUCGUCUUACAUUGUGAAAAAAAUUGCGAUUGGUAGUUUCAAAGUAGCUCCUGAAAGACAUCAGGCAGGAACCAAUGUGAUCUCCACGUGUAUGCCCAGCAAAUAUGGAUAAACUAAUUCCUGUAGGACACAGGUAUUGCGGCUGAAUAGACUGUCCACGAUUUGAUUUUUGACCUUGGAUAUUAUCUAUUGAUGUCCUACCAUGAGAGAGAAAAUGCUGUGGCCAGCCCCACCUCCAAUAAACUUUCAUUACCCCAUCACCAUCAUCCAAUAUCAUUUUAGCAGCUAUUUUGGAUAAGCCCCUAUCCAGAAUUUAUAGUAUUAUAUAUAUGCACAUUUUAUCGCUCAUGGUUCUAUGUCAUGCCUUGGCAACAUUUCCUCUUGUAUACAGCUAACACUUUCAGGACUUAAAAAUUGCUUUCUGUUUCUUCUUGUUUUUUUUUUGGGGGGGGCAUGUGAAGUUAUAUGAUUUUUAUUUAUUGAAUGAUAGUUUAUUUACAAUAUCUUAUUAGUUUUAGGUGUACAGCACAGUGAUUAAGACAGUAGUAGGUAUAUGUUAAUCCCAAACUCCUAAAUUAGUCUUCCCCCUUUGGUAACCUUAAGUAUGUGUUCUAUGUCUGUGGAUCUAUUUGUGUUUUGUAAGUAAGUUCAUUUUCAUCUUUUUGUAAAAAUUUAUCAUGUAAAUUGUAUCAUUUGAUGUUUUUUUCCCUGUCUGACUUACUUCACCUAAUAUGAUAAUUUCUAGGUCCAUCAAGAUUGCUGCCGAUGUCAUUACUUCAUUCUUUUUUAAGGCUGAAUAAUAUUCCAGUGCAUAUAUAUGUACAGCAUCUUCUUUAUCCAUGGACACUUAGGUUGAUUCCAUAUCUUGGCUACUGUAAACAGUGCUGAUAUGAACACUGGGAUGCAUGCCCCUUUAUAGUUUAAAAGCAGCUUUGUUUCUUAUUUUGUAUUAUUUUUGUUUAAACCAGAACUAUGAAUUAAACACCAAACAUUAUGUGAAAAGGGAAGACACUCUGUGUUUCUCCUUGCUACUAUUCCGCUACUCACAGCCCUUCACUUCUGACUCCAACCAUGCAGUUCUCCAACUCUCCAGACACCACCCAGAUGGCCUAAAAUUUGACUCCAUUCUGAGUCUGUCCUCCUGGAGGUAGCAUCAGAUCAUUGGAUCAUCAAAUCUCAGAAGUUAAGGGCUAGUCCCAUAAGACUGCCCUCUCGCUAAUUCCAGACACCAAUUCCAAGUCCAGGUUUUCACCUGUGCUCCCAACCAACUGUCCAAAAACAUUAGGGUAAAUUCUCUCAUAUAUUUUCUUCCUAUUCUUACAAGCUACCAAGUUCUAGAUGGUAUAUACUUUACACUCUUUAUAUUUUAUUUAUUUUAUCUUACAGGCUUUUAUUUUAUUUUUUCUUUCCUAAUGAUUAUUGUCUAAAAUAUUCCAGGUACCACAUAACCAUAUAAGUUUGUUCUAUUAUUUAAUCUUCAAAACUAGCCUACAAAAUAGAAAAAAAAUUAAGCAAUGAGAUCCUGCUGUAUAGCACAGGAAAUUAUAUCUAGUCACUUGUGAUGGAAUGUGAUGGAGGAUAAUGUGAGAAAAAGAAUAUGUAUAUAUAUAUGUAUGACUGGGUCACUUUGCUGUACAGUAGAAAUUGACAGAACACUGUACAUCAACUAUAAUGGAAAAAUAAAAAUCAUAAAAAAAUGAGGUUUUCUCUAAGGCAAGUCAGGAAGUCAAAUACCUCUUAACAGUAUCUGGGGGGGCUCAAAACCAUGGUCUAUCUGCCACCCUUUCCCCUUUUAAUAUUUGGAGGACAAAAAUGAAGUCUUUUUUAAGCCUUAGUUCAUGCAUGUGUAAAAUUACAAGUAUGGAUUAGAAUUUGAUUUUAAAAAGUUCCAAUGCUAAUUUAAUCAGAAACAAAAAUAGAUAGCAUUAAUCAAUACUAAGAUUUUUUUUUUUAUGCAUGCCCUCUAACUUUCAUAAGAACACUUAAUGGAAGGUAUUAUUAUUCCUCUUAUACAGAAGAGUUUAUUUCUGAGGCCCCCUGUAGUUCCAACAUUGCCUAGUUUAUACGAAAUACAAAAAGUGAGUACUUAAGACACUGUAGUAUACACAGAGCAUAUAUCAAAUUAUAAGUCCUACAAAUGGUUAAGAAGGGAAUAGAUGGAUGCUCAUUGUGAAGGCUUCUGUAAGGAAAAGGAAUUAGGAAUGGGAAACUUGUAUACACAAGAAUGUAUCAGAUGAGACAUAAAGACACAAUUUUUCAACAUAAUAUCUACAUAUAGCUAAUUAAUGUUUGCUCAGGGGAGACGGUCCUCAAGAUUAAUGUCAUUUUCAAGAUUAGCUCACCACUUAGCUAUGCUGUUCCAGCUACUGUGUCUCCCUGUUCAGGUUUGCUUUAAAGGAAUUCAGUGCAGUGCAGGUUUUAAUGCCCAGUCCUUCCUAGAAACCUCCUGCUAGUUCUGUAUUCAUUCCCACUGUGUGAUCCAUUUUGUGAUUAGUCUGGUAGUUAGCACACCAUCUGAAGUGCUGGUCUGAGACAUGAAAUUUCUUUUUGUAGCACCUCAUCAGGUACUGAGGAUACAUCUACAGGGAAGAAUUAAUUAUCUCUGCAACCAAUGCCACG